rnacentral:rRNA from 1 species
UUAGGUCAGCCUCCCGAUGGAUGGAGGUUCAAGCGUGUAGGCAGAUCUGGUAGGAAUAAAACGCCAGGUCAUAUGUCGAGACGUGACGUCGAAGGGCUUCGGCCUGAAGUGAUUGAUCCCAAACUUCCAAGAAAAGCCGCGGGCUGCGUUGAGUGGUUGUUAACCGUACCGCAAACCGACUCAGGUGGGCUGGUGGAGAACACCAAGGCGCUCGAGGGAACUCAGGUUAAGGAACUAGGCAAAUUGACACCGUAACUUCGGGAUAAGGUGUGCCAUCAUUAGGUGAAACCUGUACAGGUGGAGCCGACGAUGGUUGCAACAAAGCGGCGGUAGCGACUGUUUACUUAAAACACAGGCCUCUGCGAAAGCGUAAGCUGACGUAUAGGGGCUGACGCCUGCCCGGUGCUGGAAGGUUAAAGGGAGUUGUCAGCGCAAGCAAAGCAACGAACUGAAGCCCCAGUAAACGGCGGCCGUAACAAUAACGGUCCUAAGGUAGCGAAAUUCCUUGUCGGGUAAGUUCCGACCUGCACGAAUGGCGUAACGACUUCCGCACUGUCUCGACCUGGGACUCGGCGAAAUUGACAUGGGGGUGAAGGUGCCCUCUACCCGCGGCAAGACGGAAAGACCCUGUGAACCUUUACUCUAACUUGCCAGUGGCAUUCGACUCAAUCUGUGUAGGAUAGGUGGGAGCCUAUGAACCCGGUGCGCUAGCAUCGGGGCAGGCACCGUUGAAAUACCACCCUGGUUGUGUGGGCUGCCUAACCUGCGAAAGCGGGGACACUGGCUGGCGGGGAGUUUGACUGGGGCGGUCGCCUCCCAAAAAGUAACGGAGGCGCGCAAAGGUUCCCUCAGCCUGAACGGAAACCAGGCGAAGAGUGUAAUCGCAUAAGGGAGCUUGACUGCGAGACAGACAUGUCGAGCAGGUGCGAAAGCAGGCGAUAGUGAUCCGGUGGUUCCGCAUGGAAGGGCCAUCGCUCAACGAAUAAAAGGUACUCCGGGGAUAACAGGCUUAUCGCGCCCAAGAGUUCAUAUCGACGGCGCGGUUUGGCACCUCGAUGUCGGCUCAUCGCAUCCUGGGGCUGGAGCAGGUCCCAAGGGUUUGGCUGUUCGCCAAUUAAAGCGGUACGCGAGCUGGGUUUAGAACGUCGUGAGACAGUUCGGUCCCUAUCUGCCGUGGGCGUAGGAAUGUUGAAGGGAGCUGUCUUUAGUACGAGAGGACCGAGAUGGACGCACCUCUGGUGUUCCGGUUGUCGCGCCAGCGGCAUCGCCGGGUAGCCACGUGCGGACGGGAUAACCGCUGAAAGCAUCUAAGCGGGAAGCCCCCCCUAUGAGCAUUCCCUGAAGGGCCCAAGAAGACUACUUGGUUGAUAGGCGGGGUGUACAAGCACAGCAAUGUGUUCAGCUAACCCGUACUAAUUGCCCGUUCGGCUUCA